rnacentral:rRNA from 1 species
UACGGGGGGGGGCAAGCGUUGUUCGGAAUUACUGGGCGUAAAGGGCUCGUAGGCGGCCAACUAAGUCGGACGUGAAAUCCCUCGGCUUAACCGGGGAACUGCGUCCGAUACUGGAUGGCUGGAGGUUGGGAGAGGGAUGCGGAAUUCCAGGUGUAGCGGUGAAAUGCGUAGAUAUCUGGAGGAACACCGGUGGCGAAGGCGGCAUCCUGGACCAACACUGACACUGGGGAGCGAAAGCCAGGGGAGCAAACGGG